CUCCCGAUCCCAUCUCAACCUCCAGCUUCCAGCGCGUCGCCACCCUCCCCCCGUCGCAUGCGUCGCCACCGACGCCGCGGCCGUUGGCAGCUCCCCCGCUCAUGCUACUAUGGUGCCGCAAAGACAAACCAGAAUGCCUACGACCCCGACUCCCUCCCGCGCCGUCGCCGCCCUUUGCGGCACCACCCCGGCAGCCCCUACCACCGACGACCACCACAGGUCAUGGUCGACCGCGCCGCCGCCCAUGGUCGAUCCAAACGCCGCGGUGGAUAACGGGCUGCUGUGCUGAUGCACCGGGGUGUAGCGCAGCUCGGCGGCCUGGCUGUUUUGGUGGUGUUGGUCGCGGAGGACGGGGAACCAGUGGCAGGGAAGCCCAGCCUCUGCAUGCAAUGUCGACCUUAAUUAUAGAUGUUUCUGUGUUUGUUUUGGAUGAAGUGGACUGCUUGCUAGAGAGAGGAUUCAGAGAUUAGGCCAUGCAUAUCUUUGGCACGCUCUCAUGUCCACAGGUCAUGAUGUUUUCAGCAACAGUACAUUCAUAAAUUGUCAAACUCUGUCUUACACCAUGAUUGAUACAUGGAGUAUUUCUUGUGGGAACCUAGGUAAACCAAACAAAUCAAUUAGAGAAGUGGUAAUUUGGGUGGAGUCUAAGCAGAAGCAGAAGAUUUUUGAGAUAAUGAAGAGUAAGCAGUACUUCAAACCUCCUGCUGUUGUAUUUGUGAGUUCUAGAGUUGGUGAUCUCUUGUCUGAAGCAAUUACUGCUGCUACUGGGUUGGAGUAAGUUCCAUUCAGGAUGAGAAAGCAAUGAAAAAGAUAAGAGAAAGAUUGAGACGGUUUCUCACUGGAGAAGUAUCUGUUGUUGUUUGUACAAGGGUCUUGGGAUGUGGAAUGGAUCUUCUGAAACUACAUCAAGUUUUUGCUUGACAUGUCAAAUUCCAUUGAUGAAUAUAUUCACCAGUGACACAUUCAAGCAGUUGAGUUACAUUCAUAAAGGUGCUACUGCCAAGCCUGGAUUCGAUUGGAGAAUCCUCCAGUAGGAGCAGCGUCUGCCCACAACUGUUGUGGAUCGGGAAUGCAAGCCGGGUCGCCUCCACGUGGGCUAUUGUUGCAAGAAUGAUUGUUCAGCCACUGUCAGACUUUUGUGGUGUGCCCUGGCUGACAAACUGUGCUUUGCCAGCCUACUGGAGGGAAGGCAAGGUUCACCAAGGGAUGAUCCUUUCACCGGAAGGGUGAUUAAUUGUUGGGGAACAUAGUAUUUCAAAAUUUUCCUAUGAUCACGCAAGAUCUAUCUAGAAGAAGCAUAGCAGCGAGCGGGGAGAGUGUGUCCAUGUACCCUCGUAGAC